rnacentral:lncRNA from 1 species
AGACCUCCCAAAGAACUGCCACUCCAGGUUCCUGUCUGCAAGCACCUCUUGACCACAGGAGCAGUGUCUGGUUUGGCUACUGCAGACAGGAUGGAUCCCCAGUGUGGGAUCCUAUCUGAUAAAGUCAUUUCUCGCACAGUGAGAGGAGCUGGAUUCUGUGGCAGAAGAAGCUCAGCAGCUCAGCAGGCAGUCUGCUUCUGCAGGUGGGCAAGGCAGGAGAUUUUUAUCUAGGUCAGAAGACUCCAGCCAGUUUGGUGGAAGAUGGACUGUGGCAAACAGUUAAGGUCUGAUUAGCCUGCUCAGGACUGAACGGGAGGGCACAGAACUUUUUUGAAAAUAACAAAAC